GGUCGGUUAGCUCAGAGGCAGAGCGUCGCGUUUACAUCGCGAAGGCCGCAAUUUCAAAAUUUGCACCGACCA
rnacentral:tRNA from 3 species